UACGUAGGUGACCAGCGUUGUCCGGAUUUACUGGGCGUAAAGAGUGCGUAGGCGGUCGUUCAAGUCGAGUGUGAAAGCCCCCGGCUCAACUGGGGAGGGUCACUCGAUACUGAUCGACUUGAAGGCAGGAGAGGGAAGCGGAAUUCCCGGUGUAGUGGUGAAAUGCGCAGAUAUCAGGAGGAACACCAGCGGCGAAGGCGGCGCUCUGGGCCGGUACUGACGCUGAGGAGCGAAAGCUAGGGGAGCAAACGGG
rnacentral:rRNA from 1 species